rnacentral:tRNA from 3 species
UCUAAUAUGGCAGAAUAAUGCAUUGGAUUUAAACCCCAAAAAUAAAGCCUUUAAACCUUUUUUUAGAA